CAGUCGCCGCGGUAAUACGUAGGUGGCAAGCGUUGUCCGGAAUUAUUGGGCGUAUAGCGCGCGCAGGCGGCCUAUCCAGUCUGUCUUAAAAGUUCGGGGCUCAACCCCGUGAUGGGAUGGAAACUAGUAGGCUAGAGUAUCGGAGAGGAAAGCGGAAUUCCUAGUGUAGCGGUGAAAUGCGUAGAUAUUAGGAAGAACACCGGUGGCGAAGGCGGCUUUCUGGACGAAAACUGACGCUGAGGCGCGAAAGCCAGGGGAGCGAACGGGAUUAGAUACCCCUGUAGUCCCUGUCUCUUAUACA
rnacentral:rRNA from 1 species